ACAAUUUCAUUAAAUAAAACACUAAACAAAUUGUCUAAACAUAUCAACUACAAUCUUAUUCCAAAUUAGAGAUUCUUAAUGUAAUAUUAUCUCUCUUUACUUACAUAAUUAAACCAUUACUAUUAGAUCCACCCCAAUGUACAACUUGACACAGAUAAAUAGAAAAUAUAAUGCAACCAUGCCCAACAAAAGAUAUGAGAAUUUGAACCUCUUAACGCCAGGAAGUACACUUUUUGUCCUCUUCAUCUUUAAAACCCCAAAAUACAGAAAGGAAUCCUCUUUAAGCACCAAAAGUCACUCCAACCCAUUUAACAUAAACCGAUAAUAAUAAUAUUAGAAAUGAAAUUCAAUCAAACAAACUUGUAUUGUAAAGAAAACCCUCAAAUACAAUAUCAUUACUCACACGGAUUUAACACAAACAAGUCCUAAAGCUUCAACAAAAAAUGGAUUUGAUAUAAAAGCAUAACAAGUACAGAAACCUUCAAGGGGCAAAUAAGAUCAAGUUACUUACAAUCAUUAACACUGGGCAAUUCAAUAGUAAAACAAUCUGAAACCCAGAAAUCAAAAUACCAUCUUUUGAUAAAUGACCAAAUUAAAAUGGCAUUACUCAACCUCUAAUUCUCCAGCAAUUCACCAACCCAUUAAAGAUUCAAACGCAACCCAAAUGAGACAUGGGUAUUUACGAACAAGCAAAAGAUGUCUGGUUGGUUCCCUGAAAAGUAUACAUACACCCAUUGGCAUGUUAUAUAUAUAUAUAUAUAUACAAGCAAAAAUGGUAAUGUUGAAAUGAACCUUGCAGCUCCUAUUUAGUUCAGAUAUAAUAUACUGCUAGGUUGAAGUAGUGCCGUUCACAGAUUAAAAUUAGGAGAUGCUUAAAGCAUAACAUAAUAUAAUAACAGACCAAUAGUGAAGAGCCAUUUGCCAAAUGAUACCACACAAUAUCAAAAAGCUAAUUUUCACUUCUCAAUUUCACCAGAAUUUAGACAUGAUAAUUCAAACUUUCUCUAGUAUGGUAAAGGUGCAAAAUUUACAUUUCAUGCAGAAACCAUGCAUCUUAAUCCUCUAUCUGCGACAAGAAAUUGGAUACCCAUUUGGAAAAAUUGCUUAUAACGAUUAACAUAAUACACACUAAAAUUAAGCUGCUCACAUAUUCCUAAUUAAGCACAACCCAGUACACAACAAUUCAUUCAAUCAAUCAAACAAACCACAUAAAUUAACAUAAAAUGGAAUUGAAUCUCUGAAACUACAGUCAAAAUUAAAGAGAUAAAUCAAACAUACAUAAUACACACAUAUACAUAUCAGGUCUAGGGUUUGGUACCUAACCGCAAUCGAAGGAGUAGCAGCAAUCCAAGGAGUAGCAGGAGUAACAGCCACGGAGGGAAGAAGGGAGAAGCCAAGAAAUUGAUGGAUCGAGGGCAGCGAGAGAGAGCAGAGAGCUUCAAUUUUAGCCGCGUACUGUUUACGUUGGAAGAGCAAGAUCAGGCUUUUUAAG
rnacentral:lncRNA from 1 species